rnacentral:lncRNA from 10 species
GGACUUCAUUCCUCAGUGUGCUUCUUUUAAAGAGAACAAAGCACCUUUUCGCUUCUGCACUUACUGCUUCAUUUGUUCUUGCUCUUUGCUUGUGCUAAAACUGAAGCUCAGACAAGUUAAGUGAUGACUGUUUGACCUUGACUCCAGGAGGCUGUCAUCUAUAUCCAUUCUCCCUUCCCAGGGGCGGUCUCUUUGGGAUCACUUCUAAUACCCACUCUCUGGGAAUCACGGGAGCUCCGGGGCUGAAUACGUGUAACAGAGAUUUUUCCAUUGUAUGUUUCACAUUCACCUAAAGCACAGAAUGCCUGAAAGCAAAGACAGUGCUCUCCUUUGUGAGACACUUCAAAUGGGAGAGUCAGAGGACCUAACGAUUGAGCCUCACCUGAGGAGGUGAUGUGUAAAUGCGAGGGAGUGGUUUGGGACACAGGUGAAGAAAGAAUGAAAAUCAAGAAACAAUUUAAAGUGGAGACGAGGUACGUUGGGGAGCUCAUGUAGAAUAGCCCCAGUCUCCCGAGAUGAGGUAAGUAGAAGGUGUGAGGAUGGCGAGGAAAUGAAUGUGAG